GCAAAAAACCCCGCACCCAGAAAAAAAAAUACUCCAUCCAGCCCAACCUUCCUUGCCCACUCCUCUCGAUCCCAUCGUUCGUGGCCGCCGCCGUUCGAGGGGAGUCGCCGCCGCCGCGUCUCUCGAUCCCAUCGGCCCCGUCGGAUCUCGCCGCUGGCGGACGACUCGAGAAGACCCCGCCGGAUCUCGCCCUCGUCAUCAGUUCUGGAUCGCCGCCGCCGCCGAUCCCCUCCGGAAAACAACGCCGAUCCCCUGCUCGCCCACGCACGCUGCCGCGGAUGAAGGCCGCCUGCUCGCGAUCCCCAAACCUGCUGGCGCCGCGCUCCGUAGGAUCCAAGUACGCCCCUCUCCGUGGUGUUCACUGAUUGCUUGGAGCAACAACGUGCUGUUGGAGUUGCCGAAGCAUUAGGUGAUUCGAUUGUGUGCGUUUGCUGGAUUUGUUUGACGAAGGAAAGAUGACGAUGAAGGACACACAGAGGAGUGUGAGCGGUGAUGGUAUCAAGGUUACCGGCAGGUAUGCAUGCAGGAACUGACUGUACAGUGUUCCUAUAAUGCUACUGGUUUUAACGUCUGUACUGUGAUGCUACUGGCAGUUUAAAUAAAUCUGCUAUCAUUUGGGAUGUGAGUUGUCACAACUCGCUGUGCUCUGGUGUUCAGCUCAGAAUUUCUUUUGGGAAUGAUUCCUCUGAAUAGACUACUUAUGCUUGACAUUUUACUUUUGUUAUUUCUAUUUGUAACUCAAUUUCGGUAUCCUCUCAAAUUGACAAUACUUUUUCUGGAUAUGGUAGUUGAGAAUAGUUAUGGUAUAUAGCGGAGUUAGCCCAUCCUCACCAAUGACUCUUCCUCAGGGAUUUGCUGAACUAGAGUUAGUAAUGGGGGUAUUGCAGACUGUUUAGAAUUAUGGGGGUAUUGCAGACUUUAGAAACUGAAUUAAAUUUUUGUGCAAUUGAAAAAGGUGUAUACAACUUGAAUUUAUUAGGUAGUAUAGAAGAGAUAUGAAAUUUUAAAAUUGUUAGUCAGAUUUGUGUGUUGUUUUGGGUAGUAUUCAGUUUUGUUCCAUCUGAGAGGCCAAUAAUGCACAUGUGAUAUUAUCUACAUAAUUCAGUUUAUACGGCUUCCCAUAUUCCAAUGGUUGUAUUUUGCUAAAUUGCCAUCUACUUACUGGAAUUCUCACAAAUAGAAGUGCAGUCAGAAGGUAAAAAGGAUGGUAUGGUAUGUCUCCAUUCACAUGGUACUGAACUGUUAGUGAUUCUUUGUGUUAUUCUGCAGACUUGAACUUAGUUUCUAUGGUUUUCUUUUUCUGUUCAUAGACGAGAGUAUAGUCUGAAGGGAAAAAUUGGUAUGCUCUGAAGGGUGUGCAAGAACAGUGAGAUUUAUAUUACUGAAUGUAUUGUUAACAAUUUGUUAUUUUGCAGACUUGCUCUCAGUUUUUAUUCUUGGCAGGUGAUUCUUCAUGAUAAUUUUUUGUAGAGGAACAUUUUUGCGAUGGGGCUGGGAACGGUGAUCGGUGGUGCUGGUGUCGGCAGUGCGGUACAAGGUCAGGAUGUGGGAUGGGACGGCCAUCCGUGUGAGGCAGUCGGCGGCGAGGGUUUGUGGCAUCACGAGGAGCGCCCACGGAUUCAAGGUGUUGGCCCGAGACCUCCGACGAGGGAGGAGACGAUGUUAGUAUUUCCAUAGGAAAAAAACAAGAGAAGAAGAACAAGAACAACGACGGCAAUCUCGGGUUCCAGGUACGAUGGAGCCGGCGGCGAAGCGCAUGGCGCUCGCAAACGUGAUAGUGGAUGGCGACGAUACCCUCAACUGCGGCAUCUGCUACCUCCCUCUCAAGCCACCAGUCUUCUAGUGUGGCGUCGGUCAUACCAUAUCCUCGCGGUGCCACGACAAGAUGGUGGCGGCAAGGAGGUGCCGUGUGUGUCACAUCCGGUUGACCGGCGGCUAUCGCUGGAACAUCGCACUGGAGAGGCUAAUAGAGUCCAUCCGGGUGCCGUGCGCCAACGCCGCCCACGGCUGCACUGCCACGCCGGCCUACUAUGACCACCCCGACCACCUCAAGGCGUGCCCUCACGACGCCGUGCUAUUGCCCGCAGGCAGACUGCGGUUUCGCUAGCUCCACGGCGGCACUCCUGGACCACUUUGCCGACACGCACGGGUGGCCGUGCAUGACCGAGCUUGGGCCUGGGCGUGCAUCGAGGUCCAGCUCUGUGACGGCUUCAACGCCUUCUCGGCCCGUGCCCAAUGCCGGCAGUACCUGUUCCUGCUGACGUGGCGUUGAACCCGUUUGGCCGAGCGGUCUCCGUGCUCUCCCUGCAUCCUCGGGCGUUGUCGGGGGCGCCAUGUUCUUUGGAGUUCGAGGUAAGACUCAGAACUCAGAUUUAUGACAAGGACACAAGCAAAUUUAUAGCAUCCGUUGUGAUGAUACAAGGGAAGUAAGCAUAGAUGCGCUCAACGUGAUGAUAGGUGGGAGAGCUCGGCCUAUGCUGCCAACUGAUCUGCAGCGGUGCAGAAGGAGAUUUCAAAAGCAGGGCAAGCGAGAGCGACUGUUCUAUUGAUGGUCAAAGGGAGGGCUUGGCAAGAGAGAUUGAGGGAGCUCUACUACCUCGAUCUUGGCAUAGAACCUGAUGGCAUCAUGCCCAGGAAACUUCCUUCUUCAGUAUGUAUGGGGAUUUAUAUGACACCAAAAGAGAAGUCCGGCGUGUUUCUUGGUUCUAUGGAACCCCUCGACCGGAAGCAAAUAGAUCACAUCGCAAGUUGCUUGCCCAAUAUAAUCGUGCCGCAAGUUACCAACAUCGCGUGCUUAUACACCAUCGACUUUGCUGGAAAUCUAUCUGUCCGUGCUCCACCGUCUGUCGGAACUUCUUCUGCCCAUGCUACACCUGAGCUCAACACUGCAUCGCCCGGUUCGUUUGCUUGCUUCCUUUGCUUGGCUCAGGAAGGAGAAGGCCAGGACUAGCGACAAGAACCUAAGGGUCUUGCGUCACGGCCUUUGCCCAGAAGGCGAAGAACUAAAACUAAUUUUUUUUUUACCUUCCAAAAAAUUACAUGAUACAUAACUACUCCCUCCGUUCAGAAAUACUUGUCAUCAAAAUGGACAAAAGAAGACAUAUCUAGACGUAUUUUAGUUCUAGAUACAUUCUUUUUUGUCCAUUUUGAUGACAAGUAUUUUCGGGCGGAGGGAGUAUUAUUAGACUUUAGAUCUCAACCAUUAUAAUCUAGACCAAUUGAUCUUUGCCCCGUUUUUUCUGGUAUGUAUACUACAAAUCUAUUUUCCAAUCCAAGUACACAAAGUUUUUUUUAAAGAGCUGAGUAAGUUAUAAGAAAGAAGCAGGAGUCCGACUUCUCCAUUUGGUAUUGAACAUAAUCACAUGUAUUUUGAUUAGACUCUUUCUUAGGGUCUUUUUUUUAUUUGGAUUCUUUUUUUAGUCUACCAUAAGAUGGCUACCAUAGAAAGGCAUUGAUCUAUCUGUACUUUUUUUUUUAGAAUGAUAUGUGACAUGUUAAACUAUUUGUACAUGGUAAUAUUUAUAAGUAACGCUACAUUUUUUUAAAUCUCAUCUGUUAAUAUGUGAAAUUUAUGGUUCAGAUAUUUAAUUCUAUGUGGGCAAACGUAAUGGCUUGUUUGCCUUUUGUUUGAAGUACUUAAUACUCCAAAUAUAUAAACAUGUUAAACUAUUUCUUAGUCCGCACUGGAAUCUUGAAAAAGACUUAUAUUUAGGAAUGGAGGGAGUAGAUAGCACAUGUAUAGAAACGCUUCCAGGUGUUAUCUAUCGUUUGUAAUGCAGUGCAAAACUGUUCUAUAUUCUUGAACGACAUUCUUUUAUUUUGUGCAUCAGAUGAGUUAGUAUAGGUUGUUCAAUUACAUUUUUUUAAUCUAAAUAUAUUGCAAUUAAAGCGGAAUUCAAUUUUUCUACACAUCUGAAAUUUGACAUGCAUUAUGUUUAUAUAUGCAAUAAGUAAGUUUUUAAAAAGCCCGUGGCAACGCACGGGCAUUCUACUAGUCUAUGUAAUCCUCGGCUGAAACGAUUAGAUCUUAUUUUUUAGCUUGCGAUUAGACCUUUAAUUUUUACUUCAUAGGAGUCCUUGCGAUCUAUUCCACACAUGAUUCUUCUACCAUCGGAGUAGCACUAGCUUGUGUACACGUGAGAAGCUAGCUUCAAUGGAAUCGCUUGAUUAGUUUCUCGACGGGAUCGGAACGACUCGGCCCUCUCGACAGACGUCAUGUACGAGAGUUUGCGUGGAGCUAGCUCUAAUUGAUCGGAUUGACUUACUAAGGUGCCGUCGUCGGAACUUCUGGGUAACUUGGUGAUGGAAGAAAUUGAUCGGGAGUUUUGGUGAUGGAGCGGCAAGGCGGCAACACGGCGGAUCAGACACCAAACCCUAUUUAAGUUCAUCCGUAAAUUCAUGUGCCACAGGCACGUAAUCUUGCAUCAUUAAUUCUCUCCUAUGUUCUCCACCCUGAUGAAUUUAUCCAAGCACCCGCAAUAAAUUGUCUAGGCCCAUGACGUCUCAUCAAGUUUUUUAUUUUUUAUUUUGUACAUGUAGUGCAUAGGUCGUGAACAUAUUAUGUAUUCCAGGGAGUGAAAGAGAAGCAAAAACCGGCCAGCUGAGGGGAUCUGAAUCGUAUUUGUUGCCAACCUGCAGCAAGCUAGGUCCAAUAUUCAAAUGUUAAUAGAUGACACUUGCAGAAAAUAUAAUGAGGAGUUGUCAUAUAUUCAAAUGGAAUUUCAGCCAAGUUGGAUUUGAGGCGAAGGAAGGAGGCGACCUCUCAGCAAGGUGAGGGUUCUACCGAUGGAGACAUAGCAUGUUGGGAGAAGAGAACUUAUACGCACACAAUUUGGCACAGGGAGGCACGAAGAAGUCUUCAUAUAUUUCUAAAGUAGCAUGAGCAAGGCCACACUCUAUUUUUGAACAAGUUGUGUCCCAUCCUCUGGGACAUCUUCAGUUAAUUGGCGAGCACUCCUUGUCCAAACAGGGUUGAUUAGCUCUCUGCAGUCCGAUCAACAUGCAUCAUGUGGUAACGGCCAUGGUGAAGAUCAGCCCAAUUAUCUCGAUUCAUGUAUUGGUAUCCCAGACGGUGGUCAUAUAUUGAUGCGGCAUCUGCGGGAUCUAGCCAUCAGGCAUGCUUACCGAAGAUAUGGCCCGUGUACAGCGACAUGCAGAUUACCGUUUUGGUCAAUAUGUGGCGGCAGUUAGGAUGCUCCACAUAGAUGCAACUCGCAGGGUUUGACAGUUUGACUACCUCACCAAAGAUGCAGCAUUUGUUGUACAUUGAGUUUGAAC